AAACAACUAGGGAUUAUUUAACAUGGUUUAACUUACCUUUAGUUCUACAUAACCUGCAUGAGCUCAUGGCCUUUUUACAAAUAAUAUAACAAGUCAUGGAGUAGAUUGUUUGAAUUGCCUUUAUAAUAGUCAUUUUGUAUGUAGCUUUCCUUUUUCUGGACCAAAUUACUUCGCUAAUUUUAGAAGGAAAGUAACUUGCAUCUGAUAACAAGAAAUUGAAACCCUGAGUUUCUUUUAUUAGGACGGAUGUGAUUUUGGAAUUAAUUUUCUUUGUAAAACUAGACUGACUUCAAGCAAAAAGUCUCUGCUUGGCCAAACUUUAGGUGAGCUUCUGAACGUUUUCCUAGGCCCAUUUGUGCACUUCCUUGUAAAAUCCAGUUUUAGGAAGAGAACCCUGCUAAGUCAGUUUAGCCAGGAACCCCUAUCCUUGAUAUCUGAUCAUCCUUCACAUCUGAUCAGGCUUCUCAUCUUCUACCACCCCCAGGUGACACCCAAUCACCCUGGCCUGUCUUCAGCAAGAAUCCUGUUAGGAUGGUUUAGUCAGAAUCCCUACCUCUGAUGUUUCCUCUUAGUAAUUUUCCACCCCUUGGCCAUAAAUUCCCACUUGCUUAUGUUGUAUUUGGAGGGGAGCCCAGUCUCUCUCCCUUACUGCAAGACCUCAUUGCAAUGGUUCCUGUACCUAUUAACAAUGGUCCUGAAUAAAGUCUUCCUUACAAUGCUGUAACAACUAUCAUUGAAUAAUUUUUUUCUUUAACAAGAUAUGCAAAAGGUGUUGUGGACCCAUAGAGGGAGAAACAUCUAAAUCAGUCUGGGAGAUAUUGGAAGUCACUAAAUACCAUGUUUGUAGCCUCUUAAUUUUUCCUGCAGGUGAGAAUACAGAGUGGUUACAUUAUACAAAGAAAUAGUUAACAUCAGCUUCCAUAGCUUAUUUUUAAAACUCUAGGAAGUAAUGUGGUUUCAAGAUCUCCAAGUUGAGAAAAUACUGAUUUGGCCUCUUAGAAGCACAUUUUAUGAAAAGCUUAAAACUACUCCUCCUGCUUUGAGAAUAGAAUCAUGAUAGCUUACAGUAUUGAAAUGCCUCCAGAAGAGGAGAGGUGAAAUGGAAAUUUGGAGUUUUAUUUUUGGUUUUAUUUUUUGUUUUAGUUUUUUAGCACUGGGGUUUCACUAUGUUGUCCAGGCUGGAGUGCAGUGGCUAUUCACAGGCACAAAAUCCUGGAUUCAUGCAAUCCUCCUACCUCAGUCUCCAGAGUGGGUAGGACUACGGCAUGUCACCACCUUGCUAUUCAUUUUUCUUAAAAGGAAUUAGAAACCAUUUAGAAGGACAGUGAGCCAAUGCUUGAAGCUUAAUUUGAAGUAACUUGAGUACACUCAUCAAAUACCCUAUGGCAUUUAUAUUUAUGCAAGAAUAAGUAUGGCACUCAUCGAACUCUCCUGCAGCUCUCGGGAUUCCUGUGGCUUUCUUCAUUGUUGGGGCCAGGCCUACAUGCCAGCAACCAUGUCGAAGGGUCCUGCCGUUCAUAUUGAUCUUGGCACCACCUACUCUUGUAUAGGUGUUUUCCAGCAUGGAAAAGUAGAAAUAAUUGCUUUGUGUAUGAUCAGGGAAACUGAAUCACUACAAGCUAUGUCACCUUUGCAGACACUGAACUAUUGACCGGUGUUGCCGCAAAGAAUCAAGUUGCAAUGGACCCCACCAACAUGGUUUUUGAUGCCAAACAUCUGAUUGGACGCAGAUUUGAUGAUGAUGUUGUCCAGUCUGAUAUGAAGCAUUGGCCCUUCAUGGUGAUGAAUGAUGCUGGCAGGCCCAAGGUCCAAGUAGAAUACAAUGGAGAGACCAAAAGCUUCUAUCCAGAGGAGGUAUCCUCUAUGGUUCUAACAAAGACGAAGGAAAUUGCAGAAGCCUGCCUUGGAAGACUGUUACCAAUGCUGUGGUCACAGUGCCAGCUUAUUUUAAUGACUCUCACCAUCAGGCUACCAAAGAUGCUGUAACUAUUGCUGGUCUCAAUGUACUUAGAAUUAUAAAUGAGCCAAAUGCUGCUGCUAUUGCCUACAGCUUAGACAAAAAGGUUGGAGCAGAAAGAAAUGUGUUAAUCUUUGACCUGGGAGGUGGCACUUUUGAUGUGUCAAUCCUCACUAUUGGGGAUGGAAUCUUUGAGGUCAAGUCUACAGCUGGAGACACCCACUUGGGUGGAGAAUAUUUUGGUAACCAAAUGAUUAACCAUUUUAUUGCUGCGUUCAAGCACAAGCAUAAGAAGGACAUAAGUGAGAACAAGAGAGCAGUAAGACACCUCCAUACUGCUUGUGAGUGUGCUCAGUGUACUCUCUCUUCCAGUACCCAGGCCAGUAUUCAGAUCAAUUCUCUCUAUGAAGGAAUCGACUUCUGUACCUCCAUUACCCAUACCCAAUUUGAAGAAUUGAAUGCUGACCUGUUCCAUGGCACCCUGGAUUCCAUAGAGAAGGCCCUUCAAGAUGCCAAACUAGACAAGUUACAGAUCAUGAUACUGUCCUGGUUGGUGGUUCUACUCGCAUCCCCAAGAUUCAGAAGCUUCUCCAAGACUUCUUCAAUGGAAAAGAACUGAAUAAGAGCAUCAACCCUGAUGAAUCUGUUACUUAUGGUGCAGCUGUCCAGGCCACCAUCCUGUCUGGAGACAAGUCUGAAAAUGUUCAAGAUUUGCUGCUUUUGGAUGUCACUCCUCUUUCCCUUGGUAUUGAAACUGCUGGUGGAGUAAUGACUGUCCUCAUCAAGCAUAAUACUACCAUUCCUACAAAGCAGACACAGACCUUCACUACCUAUUCUAACAACCAGCCUGAUGUGCUUACUCAGGUUUAUGAAGGUGAGUGUGCCAUGACCAAGGAUAACAGCCUGCCUGGCAAGUUUGAAUUCACAGGCAUACCUCCUGUACCCCAAUGUGUUCCUCAGAUUGAAGUCACUUUUGACAUUGAUGCCAAUGGCAUCCUCAAUGUGUCUGCUGUAGACAAGAGUACAGGAGAAGAGAACAAAAUUACUAUCACUAAUGACAAGGGCUGUUUGAGCAAGGAAGACAUUGAAUGCAUGGUCCAGGAAGCUGAGAAAUACAAAGCUGAAGAUGAGAAGCAGACGGACAAAGUAUCAUCUAAGAGUUUACUUGAGUCCUAUGCUUUCAACAUGACAGCAACUGUCAAAGAUGAGAAACUUCAAUGCAAGAUUAACAAUGAGGACAAACAGAGAAGAUUCUGGACAAGUGUAAUGAAAUUAUCAACUGGCUCAAUAAGAAUCAGACUGCUGAGAAGGAAGAAUUUGAACAUCAGCAGAAAGGGCUGGAGGAAGUCUGCAACCCCAUCAUCACCAAGCUGUACCAGAGUACAGGAGGCAUGCCAGGAGGAAUGCCUGGGGGAUUCCCUGGUGGUGGAGUUCCUCCCUCUGGUGGUGCUUCCUCAGGGCCCACCAUUGAAGAGGUUGAUUAAGCCAACCCAAGUAUAGAAGUAGAAAUGUUCCACACAUGUAAAACACUGCAGGACCUAAAUUUGUAGCAAAUUCUGUGGCAGUUUUAAAAAGUUCAGCUGCUAUAGUAAGUUACUGGGCAUUCUCAAUACUUGAAUAUGGAACAUAUGCACUUGGGAAGGAAAUAACAUUGCACUUUAUAAACACUGUAUUCUAAGUGAAAAAUGCAAUGUCUUAAAUAAAACUAUUUAAAAUUGGCAC